GAUGAACGCUGGCGGCGUGCCUAGUACAUGCAAGUCGAGCGAACAGACGAGGAGCUUGCUCCUCUGACGUUAGCGGCGGACGGGUGAGUAACACGUGGAUAACCUACCUAUAAGACUGGGAUAACUUCGGGAAACCGGAGCUAAUACCGGAUAAUAUAUUGAACCGCAUGGUUCAAUAGUGAAAGACGGUUUUGCUGUCACUUAUAGAUGGAUCCGCGCCGCAUUAGCUAGUUGGUAAGGUAACGGCUUACCAAGGCAACGAUGCGUAGCCGACCUGAGAGGGUGAUCGGCCACACUGGAACUGAGACACGGUUCAGACUCCUACGGGAGGCAGCAGUAGGGAAUCUUCCGCAAUGGGCGAAAGCCUGACGGAGCAACGCCGCGUGAGUGAUGAAGGUCUUCGGAUCGUAAAACUCUGUUAUUAGGGAAGAACAAAUGUGUAAGUAUCUAUGCACGUCUUGACGGUACCUAAUCAGAAAGCCACGGCUAACUACGUG
rnacentral:rRNA from 1 species